CCAUUCCAUUCUCUAAUGGCAAUAGGGAAGGAGCACUUGUAGGCCUACGAAUUUGUUCUAGCGUAUGGAAUAAAACAUGUGCCUCUAUCAUUGUGUCAUUCUGAGUAUUUUAUUAGAAUCGUUUUUUUUUAAUUAGUACCAUGUUCCUUCAGAACUGAAGAUUAUUACAUCCUUUAGUCCAAACCUCAGACAGGAUGGCAGGGUUCUAUCCUGGAACCAUCAAGAUGAUAGUUUAAAUGACAUAAACAUAAUAAAAUAGCCAUCCCAACAACGCAGCUCACCUGAGUGUUAUCAAGGAUGUUCACGCACUACUUGCACAAAGGAAUCCCAAGCAAUAAAAGUGGAUUGAUUUUUGUUUUGUAUAUUUCAUGUUGCAUUAGUUUGUUAAGUUUCAAAGCCAAUAAAAAAUCUAUUUUAGACACAGAGUUCAAUGAUCUAUACUUCUUCAAUACUGGUGAAAAAAGCAUUUCAAUGACAAUCGAGAGCAUUUAAAAAACAUUCUUUUCAAUGGUCUUCUUCUUCUUCCACAUUUUCAUGUUGGAGCGUUCAGAUGACUAGACCAAUAUACUGUAUGAGAUGAACUGCAAAGCGGUUUCCAAAUCAGGGAGAUAACCAUAUAGUUUUCUUUCUAUGGGGGUGUUUUGGGGCCAGGGUCUUGUACUGCCUCUUGGCAAAGAGAACAGUUUUGUAGGACAUGGUCAGCAUUCUCUGGUGAAACUCCACAUGGGCAGAUUUCACAAAAGGUGGUCAAAAGAUAAUAAAAAUCAAUCAAGUUUCAACUAGGUUUUAUUACAUUAUGAAAACAAUCUAGAGUAAAAGACACUUUCAUAAGUUCUCAGUUUAACACACAUUCAGUCCAUUGUUUU